UACGUAGGUGACCCGCGUUGUCCGGAUUUACUGGGCGUAAAGAGCGCGCAGGCGGUCGUUCAAGUCGAGUGUGAAAGCCCCCGGCUCAACUGGGGAGGGUCAUUCGAUACUGAUCGACUUGAAGGCAGGAGAGGGAAGUGGAAUUCCCGGUGUAGUGGUGAAAUGCGUAGAUAUCGGGAGGAACACCAGUGGCGAAGGCGACUUCCUGGCCUGUUCUUGACGCUGAGGCGCGAAAGCUAGGGGAGCAAACGGG
rnacentral:rRNA from 1 species